rnacentral:rRNA from 1 species
CAACUUUCGGCAAUGGAUCUCUUGGCUCUGGCACCGAUGAAGGACGCAGCGAAAUGCGAUACGUAGUGCGAAUUGCAGAUCUCCGUGAGUCAUCGAAUUUUCUGAACGCAUAUUGCGCCCACUGGAAAUUCUCCGGUGGGCACGCCCGUCCGAGCGUCAUAU